GCGUGCCUAACACAUGCAAGUCGAGCGAAGGAAGGGAGCUUGCUCCCCAACUUAGCGGCGCACGGGUGAGUAACACGUGGAUAAUCUACCCUUCAGCUAUGGGAUAACAGUUGGAAACGACUGCUAAUACCACAUACSAUCCAACGUUUACAUUUGGGUGAAAGGCGGUGCAAGCUGUCGCUGAARGAUGAGUCCGCSUCUCAUUAUGUAGUGGGUAGGGUAAAGGCCUACCAASCCGAUGAUGAGUASCCGCCCUGAUANGUUGAACGGCCACAAUGGGGSUGGAACACGGCCCACACUCCUACGGGAGGCAGCAGUGGGGAAUAUUGCGCAAUGGGCGAAAGCCUGACGCAGCGACGCCGCGUGAGGGAUGAAGGCCUUCGGGUUGUAAAGACAGGUGCUGCAUGGCUGUCGUCAGCUCGUGCCGUGAGAUGUUGGGUUAAGUCCCGCAACGAGCGCAACCCCUAUUAUUAGUUGCCAUCAGGUAAUGCUGGGCACUCUAAUGAGACUGCUGUGGUUAACACAGAGGAAGGUGGGGACGACGUCAAGUCAUCAUGGCCCUUAANCCUAGGGCUACACACGUACUACAAUGGCGCGCACAAAGGGAAGCAAACCCGCGAGGCCAAGCCAAUCCCAACAAACGCGUCCCAGUCCGGAUUGCAGUCUGCAACUCGACUGCAUGAAGUUGGAAUCGCUAGUAAUUCUGGAUCAGCAUGCCAGGGUGAAUGCGUUCCCGGGCCUUGUACACACCGCCCGUCACACCACGAAAGUUGGUUUUACCCGAAGCCGGCGAGCUAACCGUCAAGGAGGCAGCCGUCUACG
rnacentral:rRNA from 1 species